CCUACGGGUGGCAGCAGUGAGGAAUAUUGGUCAAUGGACGAGAGUCUGAACCAGCCAAGUCGCGUGAAGGAUGACUGCCCUAUGGAUUGUAAACUUCUUUUAUAUGGGAAUAAAAUGUUCCACGUGUGGGAUUUUGUAUGUACCAUAUGAAUAAGGAUCGGCUAACUCCGUUCCAGCAGCCGCGGUAAUACGGAGGAUCCGAGCGUUAUCCGGAUUUAUUGGGGUUAAAGGGAGCGUAGGGGGAUUGUUAAGUCAGUUGUGAAAGUUUGGGGCUCAACCGUAAAAUGGCAGUUGAGACUGGAAGGCGUGAGUGAAGGAGAGGUGGGCGGAAGUCGCGGUGUAGCGGUGAAAUGCUUAGAUAUCACGAAGAACACCGAUUGCGAAGGCAGCUCACUGGACUGCAACUGACGCUGAGGCUCGAAAGUGUGGGUAUCAAACAGGAUUAGAUACCCGGGUAGUC
rnacentral:rRNA from 1 species